GGCUGCUCGGGAGGUAGUGAGUGGCCUCACGUGACUGUUCACAGUCGGUACAGAUUGAACUCCUUGUUCUACUCUUCCCCCUUCCCACCACUGCACUUAACUAGUCUGAA
rnacentral:Y_RNA from 1 species